UUGUUAAAAAGUUGCAGUUUGGUUUGGUUUGGUUUAGGCAAAGAUCAUACUUUGGGGUAAAAUAACUACGUUCAGUCUCCUAAGUGACGUAACAUUGCCUAAGUGACUUGAGCAAAGGAAGUUACAUCAUUUACGUAUGCGUGUUUAGGUAGUGUGUGUGAGAGUGUUUUAGUAGUGUGUAUGAGAACGUUUCAAUAGUGUGUAUGAGAGCGUUUCACUCACUUGUAUGUAUGAUAACAUUUCAGUAGUGUAUAUAAGAGCAUUUCACAUGUGUAUGAGAGCGUUUUAGUAGUGUGUGUGAAUGAAUAAUUUUUCAGUUGUUUAUGUGAGAGUGUUUCAGUAGUGUAAGAGCAUGUCACAUGUGUUUGUGAGAGGUAAUUCUGGAUAAUGUCCCUGAUGGCCCCUCAUACCAGUGUGUGAUCCAUCCAACACCCCUGAACAUCCCACAACUUGGACUUUUCUUGCUCAUUUUACAAUUGCACUAGAGGGGUGGUUUAAAACUUGACACUACAAGGGUUCCCACACAGUCACAUUUGGAAACGUAUGGCCACUAAAUACUGCAUCUGAGGUGUUGGGAGUGAUAUCAGACAGAAAUAUCCAGCAAUGGCUAAUAACAGCAUUGAGGCAUUAAAGUAAUUGUUUUUUUAAAUAUAGGACAAUAUACAGAUUUGUUAAAUGCUCAAAUAUAUCAGUCUCAAAUGUCCAGAAGUGAUCAGGCUUGAAGUUGACAUCAUCAUCCUUACCAAAAUAAAAUCCAAACAAUUUCAGUUCAUCAUAGUUUAAUAAAACUUCCUUAUAAUAAAAAUGUAACUGAUGCCACUUUGUCCAUUCAUUAGUGAAUAAACUCUAUUCAUGAAACAAAAUCCGUGACUUGAUCGAUAAACUCGAGAGAAAAAAAAAAAAAGAGCAAUGAAACCUCUGACAUCUCAUGUCACCACGCAUGCAAACUAACAGACAUAUCAAAGCAGGAUUGUUAUUUGCUGUUAAUGCAGAUACCAUAUUAGUUAGAUAUUAAAUGAUUCAGCAAAACUGGCAUGAAUUUAUAACUCUAGCUGAGAAAUGAUUCGUGUGUAAGCUUUGCACAGAGCUGGUCGAUACACUCCACUCAAAUACACAGAGCAUCACAUGAAACAUGAGCUGUUUAUCUUUUCACCCUCACCAGAACAUGUCAGCAGUGCAAUUGACAAUUACAUUACAUUUCUGAAAACAACAGAAGGUCACAAUACUGAUAUAACUAAUAAAUUAGACAAACAAAAACAAAAUAAAAAGGAGUUAAUCCAUGCAUUUAUGACUUGAUAAAAACUGCAGACACUUGUGGGAAAAAAAAAAAGUAAAACAAAGCAUUUUUUUAAAUGGCAAAGUAAUACAGGGUCAUUGUUCUUCACCAAAAUCUCUGGUGUUUUUCAAGACAAUACUGUGUGAACACAGAAAAAGUCACAAUGAUUACACAGAGACAGCUUGCUGGGGGUUUUUGAGAAUAAUGUCAGUAUAUGAAAUAUUUCUGUCAAAAUUCAGUUGAGUCAUGCUCCACUGGAUACAAUAAAGAAAAGUGUACUGUAAUUCAUACUUGGGAUUACAUGACAACAUUAGGUCACAAUUGUCCAGACAUAAUCCCAUCAAGUUUUAAUUUGACAUCUUAAAAGUAACUGGAUAUUUUUCUUAACAAGACACUUUUUUCACAGGAAAUUUCCACCAAUGAGAAGCCAGUGUUGGAGCUGGUUCCAGAACUCUCAAACCUUUUGAAAUAUAUGUUACCAUAGAACUUGUAGUUGCCUGCCUAAACUGCCUUCAUGCCAGCCCAUUCCUUUCCUUUUCGAUCCCUCCUGCCCUUUUUGGCAUCAAAGUCCCAACAGUGUCAGUAGAGCUUAGCUCAAUGGUGCGUUGCAAAAACUAAAAUGGAUGACCAAGUCGAGCCUUGUUUCCACCGUGGAGGCCUGUUCGGUUAAGUUUGAAGGGAAAAAAAAAAUUUAAAAAAGAAGAAGAAUAGAUGACCCCCGAUGGUCGAUCAACCACAACCAACAACUUUGUGCAGAAUAGAAGAACUGUCUGUGGUGAAAACACCAAAAAAGAUCUUGCACAAGGUACAGUAAGAGGGUACUAUGAUGGAACCACUUAGGUGGAAGCAAGGCUCAUGGUAUCAUAAAAAGGAUUGUUUUAGUACCAACUCAGGUGGCAUUAUCAUCAAUUAUCAUCCCUAAUAUUGACAAAUGAUACCCAGCCCUAAAAAAUAGAAGUCAUUUAGUGGUGGAUAAAAAUCACAAGAAUAGUGGUAGACGUAGUCCAGCAAUAACCUGUGUCAGGGUUCAGCAACCUCUGAGCAGUAACAGUGGUUCUAUGUGUAGUCAGAGUAGCUGGCUCAUACAGACAGUGAAGGAGUGGUUAACAGGACAUCUGUAACAAAAAGGCAGUGCACUGAAAUUCCCAACACAGUGUGCACUCACAGACGCACCAGUAUAUUACAGUAACAUCUAGAGAACAAUAAUAAUCUUUCCUAUUAAGAAGACCGGUAUAUGCUUGAAAAUGACAUGACACAAUGUUUUCCUUUUGUAUUUCCAUCACAUGAAGUGGGAUGAUGGUCCUUCCUGGUGCCUUGAUUGUGGCCAAUGACAGAGCAGCAGGUCUGUCAUGAACAAGAAAGGCAAAUAUGAUGGCUGCUCUCAGACUCUCAUUCUACAUCAGAGUGAAAAGGCCUAACAGGUGCCCUCCAUCAGAAUUAAGUAUCCUUUUCAUCCAUUUCUCUUGUGUGUAACAAGUCCUUCAGAUGUGGAGUGGUUAUGUGUAUUACAGGGAACAACACUCAAGGCUGUAUGGGAAAAUAAAUGUAUUUUUAAAUCAUAUGAGUGAUAUUUCUCUCCAUUUUCCCUCUGGAGAGAAAAUUCCCUCUCAUAAGCCACUCAUCAAUGUUAAAAUGGUUUCAGUCAGA